GACGAACGCUGGCGGCGUGCUUAACACAUGCAAGUCGAACGGAAAGGCCUCUUUCGGGGGGUACUCGAGUGGCGAACGGGUGAGUAACACGUGAGUAACCUGCCCUUGACUUUGGGAUAACUUCAGGAAACUGGGGCUAAUACCGGAUAGGAGCUCCUGCUGCAUGGUGGGGGUUGGAAAGUUUCGGCGGUUGGGGAUGGACUCGCGGCUUAUCAGCUUGUUGGUGGGGUAGUGGCUUACCAAGGCUUUUACGGGUAGCCGGCCUGAGAGGGUGACCGGCCACAUUGGGACUGAGAUACGGCCCAGACUCCUGCGGGAGGCAGCAGUGGGGAAUAUUGCACAAUGGGUGGGAGCCUGAUGCAGCAACGCCGUGUGCGGGAUGACGGCCUUCGGGUUGUAAACCGCUUUCGCUCAUGACGAAGCUUUGUGUGACGGUAGUGGGUAAAGAAGCACCGGCUAACUACGUG
rnacentral:rRNA from 1 species